rnacentral:ncRNA from 1 species
UAAGGUUUCCGAACUGUUUGCAGGGAGGAACGUAAGAGGGAAUGCCGUGAGAGUCGGCAGCAGUUCCCGCUGCUGUGAGCCCUAGAAAAAGGAGUCGGCGACAACGCCACUGAUGCGACGAACCCGUGCGGAGAAGCAUUGGGAAGGCGCCGAUAGCCGGGACGAGCCAGAAGACCUGCCUUAAUGA